rnacentral:rRNA from 1 species
GUGGGAUAACUACUGGAAACGGUAGCUAAUACCGCAUAACGUCGCAAGACCAAAGAGGGGGACCUUCGGGCCUCUUGCCAUCAGAUGUGCCCAGAUGGGAUUAGCUAGUAGGUGGGGUAACGGCUCACCUAGGCGACGAUCCCUAGCUGGUCUGAGAGGAUGACCAGCCACACUGGAACUGAGACACGGUCCAG